UUGCUUUGAAGGGCUUAUUUU
rnacentral:piRNA from 1 species